AGAGGGAGCCUGAGAAACGGCUACCACUUCCACGGAAGGCAGCAGGCGCGUAAAUUACCCAAUCCUGAUUCAGGGAGGUAGUGACAAGAAAUAAUGGGUCGGGGUUUUUCCCCGGGACUGCAAUGAGAUGAAUUUAGACCCCUUAUCGAGGACCAAUUGGAGGGCAAGUCUGGUGCCAGCAGCCGCGGUAAUUCCAGCUCCAAUAGCGUAUAUUAAAGUUGUUGCAGUUAAAAAGCUCGUAGUUGGAUUUCUGGUAGAAGGUUAGAGCGCACCUGCGUGAUGCUCGCGUCUUCUGCCAUCCUUCUGUUAACCUUUCUUGACAUUGACUUGUCGGUUUGGGGCUCAGAUAUUUUACCUUGAGAAAAUUAGAGUGUUUCAGGCAGGCUUGUGCCCGGAUACAUUAGCAUGGAAUAAUAGAACAGGACUUUAGCCUCUUCUGUUGGUCUGAGGGGUUGAAGUAAUGAUUAAUAGGGAUAGUUGGGGGCAUUAGUACUUAACUGUCAGAGGUGAAAUUCUCGGAUUUGUUAAAGACUAACUUAUGCGAAAGCAUUUGCCAAGGAUGUUUUCAUUAAUCAAGAACGAAAGUUAGGGGAUCAAAGACGAUCAGAUACCGUCCUAGUCUUAACCAUAAACUAUGCCGACUCGGGAUCGGGGGCUAGAGUUAACUGCCUUCGGCACCGUAUGAGAAAUCAAAGUCUUUGGGUUCUGGGGGGGAGUAUGGUCGCAAGGCUGAAACUUAAAGGAAUUGACGGAAGGGCACCACCAGGCGUGGAGCUUGCGGCUCAAUUUGACUCAACACGGGGAAACUUACCAGGUCCAGACAUAGUGAGGAUUGACAGAUUGAUAGCUCUUUCUUGAUUCUAUGGGKGGYGGSGCAYSGCCCSYYCUUAGUUGGUGGAGUGAUUUGUCUGGUUAAUUCCGUUAACGAACGAGACCUUAGCCUACUAAUAGUCGCAACAAUACUCAUUGGCUGCGACUUCUUAGAGGGACUUGCAAGCAACUGCAAGGAAGUUGAGGCAAUAACAGGUCUGUGAUGCCCUUUAGAUGUCCUGGGCCGCACGCGUGCUACACUGAUGCAUACAGCGAGUACUACCAGCUCCGUAAGGCUGCCGGUAAUCAGCAAUAUGCAUCGUGCUGGGGAUAGAUCUUUGGAAUUUUUGAUCUGAACGAGGAAUGCCUAGUAAGCGUGGUCAUCAAACCGCGUUGAUUAAGUCUGCCCUUUGUACACACCGCCCGUCGCUCCUACCGAUUUCGAGUGGUCCGGUGAACCCUUUGGACUGAAGAUGUCUCGYGCAUUUAGAAAGUCGAGUAAACCACWCA
rnacentral:rRNA from 1 species